CUGAUGCUAAAUAGUAAAAUGGUUGUUUUUCUGAAAAGCAGUGAAGCUGUGGGCCCAUUUUCUGUCUUCUCCUGACAGCCCUGUGAUGUGUUCAAAGCCUCAGUUGGGAAAUCAGCCUUAGUAUAGCGCCGUCACAAACAAUCACAGCUCAUUACCAACCACACACUACCCCAUUUGCUUGCGCUAUCAGAGGUGUCUACACGUGUGUGUGUUGCCACACUCGCCAAUGCUGAUAUUUAGCUUGCAGCUCUGAGUUUAUGAUGAUUUUGUUUGUGCACAAUGCAGAAUGAGCACUAAGGUGGCCCGCUUUGAGGCUCUAAGUUGGUGAAUGAGCUCUGUUGCCAGACAGGUUGUUGAUGCACCCAUAGGCCCGUGACCUUGCAAAGAGUAGAGCAACUGUCAAAUUCAACGAGAGGGUGCUUUUAUCUGCUCAGCGCCCCGACGCAGCACACUCAACCAAUUAUCUCCCUGUCAGACGUAAACACGUAAACCGUGUUGUUAGUCUCUGUCCAUGUUGUUUUUUGUGAAGGACACGAUGAUCACAACCAACCUCGAGUCGGUGAGAGGGCCAUUCCAUGAAUUGAGUGUAAUUGGCGAGGAGAGCUGCGAGCCAGUUGCUCUUUGUGUAAGCAGAUUACAGGCUGGCAAAGCUGAGACCCCCUCAGGGUGCCGAAACAUGGUCGUCGGUACGUGGUGUGUAAAACAAGCAUGUCACUCAUGAAUUAUACAUGGGAGAAUGUCCAGCCAUGGAACUGGAACACUGGAGAAAACAAGACAAUAGGAGGAGGUAGAGAAAGAAGGAGGGAACUCACAGCACAACGGUUGAACGGAUACAGGUGUAGCCAUCCUGCAGCGAUACAGCUGGAUGAGAUAAACGUGUGUGCCGACCUUUGGAUCGAUUUGAACACAGAAUUGCAAAAAUAAAAAAAUAAGUCAGUUGUUUUGUGCAAAAAAAACCCUCAUUCUUAAGGAUCAGGGGCCUCAUUUAUAAAGCUUGCUUACGCACAAAACGGGGUCAGAAAACUGCGUAAGCACCUUUCCACUAGCCUGGCAAGCCAGACUAAAAUUUGGUCUAGUUCACUAGGCUACCUUUCCACGCAAACUUUGGGAUUUAUAAAAGAAAACUUUGCGGAGAAAUUUGCACAAGUUUAAGUUGACUAAGGACCUGGCUUACGCACAUUUUGGACAUGGAGAGCACCUGCGCUGCUGCUGCUGAGAAGGAAACAAUUAUGAAUUCCAGCAUCAUUAUCAAUUGUACUGCUUCCAUGUGUGCCAUGCACUCGAGGCGCACUGGUGGGACAGGCCGACCCUGCAGCCACAUCUUCGGUCGCCGCCUGGGAUGCAUCGUUGGCUGCUUCAUCCACAAUCACUGGGGGGAAACAACAAGAUUUGGUUUUGUUUCAUCUUUUAAUGAUGGACACAUUUGAUCUGUGUUAAUAAAAAGCUUAAACGUUACCAGUCUCCUCUGCAUGGUCAGUGUCUCCCUCAUUCUCCGGCACAAUGCCACGCACGCUUGCUGGUCUGAGUACUGCUGAGGUCCUAAUGGCAAGUGGAGGGGGAUCAGAGGUGCCAGGGCCUCCGCCAGUGGAAGACACACUCUGGCGGUGGCAAAACAUCUUUUUUUUGCCUCCAUCUUCAGAUCGGACCAUUAUUUAAUAUCCGCCACAGAACUCUCUGAAGAACUCACAGCAUUGCUGGCUUCAGCAACGCUGUGCCACUCUGUGGAUUUUCUCUUAUUUGUUUAGCAAAAGCACUUCCUUUCAUUUUUCCUCCUCACUCACAAGUACCUUAAUUUCUGCUUCAGUGAAAUUGCACUUCCUUGAUCUGUGGUCGCCAUUGUUAAUGGUGGAAUGCCGCAAUGAGCCGGCUUAUAUAUAUGCAUGAGAUCCACAAGGCUCUUUGCAUUGACCAUUUAUGGCAGAAAGUGGGCGUGUCGAGGGCGGGAUGUGAUCCAGAAACACCUGAGAACCUUUCUAGGUAGUUUGUGAUUUAUAAAGAGGAGAUUGCAUGUAGCUGUGUGUACUCCAUUUUUUUAUAGGUCAAAAACCUACUUGGCAUAAGUACAUUUUUUUUGCUGAGCUUAAGUACGGUUUUAGUGAGGAUUCUACGCAAUGUUUUAUAAAUGAGACACCUUGUCCUUAUGCAAGUUUUAGUAAUAAUUUGCUUCAGUUUUAGGAUUAAGUUUAUCAACUCAAACGGGACCCUUUUGGGAAAUCAAGCUCCCAGCAGAGUGAUUUAUUGUCAUUAAACGAAAAAUAAGUAAUCAGAAAGUACCCAAAAAAUAGUCUGACUCACCCUGACUUCACACUGGAGGCAUCAGAGAAUCAGAGCGGCAUUGGAAUGUUGCUUCUUUAAAUAUAAUUUGUUGCAAUCUAUGGGUUGAUCCAAACCGGCCACGCCGUGCCACGAUGCUGAAGAUAGGAUUGGGUACAAUCGGCAUGAGGACUGGGGUCCUUACAGUAAGUAUACAAAAAAUGUAUAAAACUACAGUCCCAUUGUGCAACGACCUAGCUUGGACAUCCUACAGAUGUGGUCUGGACCAACGGACUCAAUAUAGACAUAAUCUGUACGUCCAUAUAAUGCUGACUGUGUGCAGGGGCCUAGAGGCUCUUUCAAGCAAUGUCAGGAAUGCAGAACUUUCAAGUACACAGAUGGCAGGAACGGCCAAUCACACGUUAGCAAGUAUCAGCAGAGCCAAUAGAUGAGCUUAAGGAUGGUUCUAAUGAGAAACAGGUUUGAACACAAGCGGUUGUUUUAUGCUUGGUCCUAGUGCUCAACCAGUGUCUGUUUAAAGUAGUGUAAUGUUGUUUUUGGAUGGUAAAAAGUGCAGGGGACAAAAACUGUAUUUGGAAAAAGUGUGUGUGUACGUACAUGCUGCUCAGAAUAGAAAUAUUACAACUGUGUAUUUUUCAAAUUUUGGCAUUCACUUGCAAAAGGCUGGCCAGUGGAGGGCCGUGUACAGGUCUACUCGUUGAAAUGUAUUGAUGCAUAAUUUUGAAACACUUGUAUUUAGUGAACUUUACCUGAGAAGGGAUCAAUUUUAAAGACAUGCAAAUAUCUUGAAAACAAAACUGCCAUAAUUUUAGGUAAUCAAUUUAUUUGUGUGCACUUUUUAUUUUUAAUGGUGCGUAUUAUGUAUGUACAAACAUAAGUUGCAUCAGUUAUUGCUUUUUUGGCUGUUCUUAAUAUUUUAUUUAAGUCUCAAAAAUUAUUCAGGUUCUGUGAGGUUCAUGUUCUAUUGGAGGUUCUGUGAAACGGCAUGUUUCUUGACUAUUAAUAUAACAGGAAUUUAGUAAUUUGUUGUACAGACAGUUUAAAUCUUUAUUUAGCAUAUUUAAAGAAAAAUGAAUUAUACUUUAAAAGUGCUAAGGCAAAAUACCUCACAUCUCAGCAGGAAUGUAAGUGCACUAUAAGAGCCUGAAGUAAAUGUUUUUUCACAUAAUUUUUUAUUAUUUAACACUCGUUUUACUUGACAGACUCUCAGAAGAAAGUAACGUGGUAAUAAAAGUCUCGCUUCUGGCUCUAUUUUAGUGAUAAAUAAAUAAUACCUUUUAGUGCUUUGGUAUGCAAGGGUAUGAGAUGAUAUUUUCAUUCAAGCCUUUUCUUUGUCUCUGCUCAUUUUAGGAAUUGGGCAUCAUUAAUCACAUGCUUUCAACCAAAAUUACGAGGAAUCUGCACUGCAGGAGCCCCCCAGAACAGCAUUCAGCCACUCAGAGUGCCACAGUUGUUGAUGAUGCUCAUUCCAAGACGCACGAGAAAACAAAAACAAAAUCAGCACGCAAAAAUGCCAGCCUCCAGUUGGGAUUGUCCAGAGCCAAAUGAGCAUUCCCUAUGCUGCCUUACAAGACCAAUCACACUGCCAUUGGUUCCACGCGCUGCUUUGGCUGACACAUCUGAACACUGCAGACCAGCUCUGUCGGUGGUGGUGGAGCAGGUUGAUGCCCCUGUAUUACCCCAUGUGCCAGUGACACUUUUCACCACACAACCUUGGAACGAGUGUGUGGGGGAUCCUGGCAGAUUUGUCACAGCCCACAGACUGAAACACCCAAAAGUCCUUUUGCACACUGACGUGCACAAAUUCAACCCCAGGGGACAUGCACAAGAAAAAAACACACAGAGCUGACAAUGUGCACUUUUUUUUAGAUCAAAUUCAUGAGUUAACAGAGACAUAAAUGCUGGAAGAACGUCUACAUCCCUGAUCACUCUUUAAUCAGCUGUAUAUCAAUUUCAGUGAAUAUAUGACAAUGUUUAAUAAUUAAAAAAUAUAAAUAAAA